rnacentral:rRNA from 1 species
GACGAACGCUGGCGGCGUGCUUAACACAUGCAAGUCGAACGGAAAGGCCCUGCUUUUGUGGGGUGCUCGAGUGGCGAACGGGUGAGUAACACGUGAGUAACCUGCCCUUGACUUUGGGAUAACUUCAGGAAACUGGGGCUCAUACCGGAUAGGAGCUCCUGCUGCAUGGUGGGGGUUGGAAAGUUUCGGCGGUUGGGGAUGGACUCGCGGCUUAUCAGCUUGUUGGUGGGGUAGUGGCUUACCAAGGCUUUGACGGGUAGCCGGCCUGAGAGGGUGACCGGCCACAUUGGGACUGAGAGACGGCCCAGACUCCUACGGGAGGCAGCAGUGGGGAAUAUUGCACAAUGGGCGGAAGCCUGAUGCAGCAACGCCGCGUGCGGGAUGACGGCCUUCGGGUUGUAAACCGCUUUCGCCUGUGACGAAGCGGGAGUGACGGUAAUGGGUAAAGAAGCACCGGCUAACUACGUG